rnacentral:rRNA from 1 species
UACGAAGGGGGGCUAGCGUUGCUCGGAAUCACUGGGCGUAAAGCGCACGUAGGCGGCUUUUUAAGUCAGGGGUGAAAUCCUGGAGCUCAACUCCAGAACUGCCUUUGAUACUGAGGAGCUUGAGUCCGGGAGAGGUGAGUGGAACUGCGAGUGUAGAGGUGAAAUUCGUAGAUAUUCGCAAGGAACACCAGUGGCGAAGGCGGACUCACUG